UACAGAGGGUGCAAGCGUUGCUCGGAAUCAUUGGGCGUAAAGGGCAAGUAGGUGGUCUCAUUUGUCCGAUGUGAAAGCCUUGAGCUUAACUCAAGAAGUGCGUCAGAAACGGUGAGACUCGAGUUCUGGAGAGGGUCGUGGAAUUCCCGGUGUAGCGGUGAAAUGCGUAGAGAUCGGGAGGAACACCAGAGGCGAAGGCGGCGACCUGGACCUCUGCUGACGCUGAGGCGCGAAAGCGUGGGGAGCGAUCCGG
rnacentral:rRNA from 1 species